CGUGUGGUUCUAUUUUGUUGGUUUCUAGGACCGCCGUAAUGAUUAAUAGGGACAGUCGGGGGCAUCAGUAUUCAAUUGUCAGAGGUGAAAUUCUUGGAUUUAUUGAAGACUAACUACUGCGAAAGCAUUUGCCAAGGAUGUUUUCAUUAAUCAGGAACGAAAGUUAGGGGAUCGAAGACGAUCAGAUACCGUCGUAGUCUUAACCAUAAACUAUGCCGACUAGGGAUCGGACGGUGUUAUUUUUUGACCCGUUCGGCACCUUACGAGAAAUCAAAGUGCUUGGGCUCCAGGGGGAGUAUGGUCGCAAGGCUGAAACUUAAAGAAAUUGACGGAAGGGCACCACCAGGGGUGGAGCCUGCGGCUAAAUUUGACUCAACACGG
rnacentral:rRNA from 1 species